CUAUAAGUAAAACCCAAAGUCCACUAAUAAAAACCGAAACCCAAAGUCUACAAAUAAGAUUCCAGAACUGAAAGUCCACAAAUAGAACCCAAAACCUAAAGUCCGCAAAUAAAACCCCGAAAUCCAAAACCUCUCAAAUCUAACCGACCAUAAAGUCGUUAAACUAAACAACUAAAUCCAAACGACCGUAAAGUCGUUAAUCUAAACAACCCACAUUCAAACGACCGAAACGUCGUUAAACUAAACUCAAAUUCAAACGACCGAAACGUCGCUAAACUAAACCCAAAAUCAAACGACCGUAAAGUCGUUAAACUAAAUUCAAAAUCAAAUGACCGUAAAGUCGUUAAACUAAAUCCAAGUUCAUCAUGAACCUUUUCUACUCUAGCACAUAUAUCUAGAGUAAAAAAUUAAAUAUCGACUACCCCUAAUACA
rnacentral:lncRNA from 1 species